rnacentral:rRNA from 1 species
GAUGAACGCUAGCGGCAGGCCUAACACAUGCAAGUCGAGGGGCAGCACAGAAACAGCAAUGUUUUGGUGGCGACCGGCGGACGGGUGCGUAACGCGUAUGCAACCUACCUUUAACAGGGGGAUAACGGAGAGAAAUUUCCACUAAUACCCCAUAACAUCGAUCAAGGCAUCUUGAUUGGUUGAAAACUCCGGUGGUUAAAGAUGGGCAUGCGUUGUAUUAGGUAGUUGGUGAGGUAAUGGCUCACCAAGCCUACGAUACAUAGGGGGACUGAGAGGUUAGCCCCCCACACUGGUACUGAGACACGGACCAGGCUCCUACGGGAGGCAGCAGGGAGGAAUAUUGGUCAAUGGGGGCAACCCUGAACCAGCCAUGCCGCGUGCAGGAAGACGGCUCUAUGAGUUGUAAACUGCUUUUAAACAGGGAUAAAGCACAGUAUGUAUACUGUGUUGAAGGUACUGUAAGAAUAAGGAUCGGCUAACUCCGUGCCAGCAGCCGCCGUAA